rnacentral:rRNA from 1 species
AGAACGAACGCUGGCGGCAUGCCUAAUACAUGCAAGUCGAACGAACUCUUCGGAGUUAGUGGCGCACGGGUGCGUAACGCGUGGGAAUCUGCCCCUUGGUUCGGAAUAACAGUUGGAAACGACUGCUAAUACCGGAUGAUGACGAAAGUCCAAAGAUUUAUCGCCAAGGAUGAGCCCGCGUAGGAUUAGCUAGUUGGUGAGGUAAAGGCUCACCAAGGCAACGAUCCUUAGCUGGUCUGAGAGGAUGAUCAGCCACACUGGGACUGAGACACGGCCCAGACUCCUACGGGAGCAGCAGUAGGGAAUAUUGGACAAUGGGGCAAAAGCCUGAUCCAGCAAAUGCCGCGUGAGU